UAAUGGUGUCAUAUGUUGUCGCCAAGCACAGCGACUCUGGACACUGUUUGUGUCCGUGUUGAAAAGCAGCACAUUUGAUUUGGUUUGGUUUACGGGUUGCGUGCAUUUGCACGUGUGGAUUUAGGGAGUUUUUACCACUUUCCUUUAAAGUUAUCUAUGUUUACCAGUGUCAUAUGGGUUAGCCUGUCUCUCCUGCCUUGGGCUCUAGACACAACAACAGUGCUUGUUAGUGACAUAUGCUGGGAAGAGCUGCCCCUCUUAUCCUUAGCCCUUAAUGAAGCGAGUCCAGCCCAUCAACACACCCUCAACUCCCCUCAACUUCCCACCCCUAUAUUAUAGGGCAAUGUGUGCUUCUUCCCGCAUGCACACAAUGUCCUCUUCUCCUCAUUCUGUAACCUAUCCCCUUUGUCCUGUCUCCAAAACUCAUACCAGGGUAAGCUAGAGAUGUCUGCAUUCCUGAAACGUUCCCCUUCUGUCCUGCCCAAACCUGUCCAGAUUAAGAAAGAGUGCAAAUGCAUUUUAAGUAUGCAAGGUUAACAUUAUAGAGAGUUUAUGCAAGAGCACGUAUAUGAGGGUGUUCUAUUGUACUAUGCUAUUUUUCUGUUUUUUUUUUUUUUCCACACACAAACCACCUUGUUUGAUUUUUAUUGAAAAAUCUUUAGAAGCACACUAUUUGUCUGUGUUGCAAACUUACUCAUACAUUUCGAAACCAUUUCUACAAGCAACAAGAUUGGAAAAGAUAAUAAAUGCAUUCUCAUCAACUCAGGCUCAGACUGACUGUGAAAUUAAACCAAUCACCAAAGCAAUUACAACAGUGGAGGAGAGGGUCAGAUCGAUAACAGCCCCAUUAUGAAUAGCCGAUAAAGAGAGAGAAAACACCCAGGAAUCAGGGAAUCCCUGGAUGGCAUCAACACCUCCAUGCAGACAUUGGGAAGGUAAUUAUUUUUAUUAAGCUUCUGUUUAAGUAGGGUUACUUUAUGGCAGCAUUCACCAAUUUAAAAUAAUAAUAAUAAUAAUAAUAAUAAUAAUAAUAAUAAAUGCUGUAUCCUUAUUUUUUAUGUCA
ensembl:lncRNA